CUGUAAUUCCGGGGAAGCUUCGAUUCCUCUGACGCCCUUAUAACCCACAGAAAUCUCACCGGAAUUUGCUUCAGUGCGGCGGCGAUUUCUCCGAUCUGCUCCGAUUCCGGCCGCGCGACGUUGUCAUUUUUGUUCAGACAGACACUCGUAAGUUCCAGUUCCAUCUAGUUCCAGUGCCCUCUCCGCUCCUGCCCCUCACCCAGCCCCAUCAGUCAAGUCACUCAUGUUUCCCAUCAGACACAUGGACGCCCGCUCCAUCGAAGAUGAUGACUCGGUUUUCAUCUGGUGGAUGAAUCAACAUCUCCACAACUACCAAGAAGAUCGACGUUGAUAAUAGGAUUUCCCUUCCCUUCCCUUCUACCACCGAAUCGAAUUGCGGAUAAUAUUCAUUCUCAAGCAGGCCCCCACCGUCGCACCGCACCUCUCCCCUUAAAAGAAAGGAAAGCAAGCCCCGUGCGGUGCAUUUCCUUGAAAGAAAGGAAAGCCCUUGGUGCAGAUCGCUGCGAAUCGAACCGAACCGGGCAAGACCGUCCAGUUCCAGUUCCACCAGUUCCCUUCACUUCUGCCCCUCGCCCAGCCCACAAGUCACUCAUGUUUCCCAUCAGACACAUGGACGCCCUCUCCAUCUUGCGAUCAAUCAUUCAAUCAGAAAAGAGUACUGGUUCAUGUAAGAAAUAAUCGCAGCUUCAUCCACCAGCAAUAUGAACAGCUAAAGACGUUUUUCUUAUUUAUUUGUUUGUAAUUAUCAGAAAAGAGCAUUGGUCCUGUGAAACCAAUCCUAUGUUUUGCGUGAGGCAUUUCAAAUCAAGAUCCUUGAUACUGUGAUAGUCUAUCAACAUCUCACCUAAGAAUUAAAAACUGAGUCAGUCAUCUUAGUAUAAAUAAAUCUAUUAUUUAUUAUGGAGGCAAGGAGGAUUGUUCGAGGUAAACCGAAUGCAGUUGCUAGACCGCACCAAAAAAGGGUAAGCCAACGUGGAGACUCGAGGACCGACAGAGAUCCACUCGAUGACGAAGAUCUAUUCGGGGCCAAAGACGAUUACGAAUGGAGUUGCUAGACCGCACCAAAGAAAUGGAGAAUUUCGCUACUUUUGCUUUCACUUUUAUUGCAUUUUUAAAAUGCAUUCAUUUUCAACAUUUCUUGCAUUUAGCUUUAGCAUAAAUUUAAGUCCCGGGACAUCCAUGCAUUGAUUAUCAACUUAAAUCUCAUACUGACUCCCAAACGCGUACUAUCUAUCUCUUUCUUGUAUUAUCUGUAGGUAAGCCAACGUGGAGACUCGAGGACCGACAGAGAUCCACUCGAUGAUGAAGAUAAGUUAUUUAAAUCUAAUUUAUACUUUCAAAUGUUUAUUUACUUAUAUUAAUUUUGAAUCCUUUCAAAUCUAUUCCGGGGCAAAGAGGAUUACUAAUGGAGUUUCUAGACCGCACCAAAGAAAGAGAGAAUUUAUCUACUUUUCCUUUUACUUUUAUUGCAUCUUAGAAUUGCAUUCAUUUUCAAGCUUUCUUGCAUUUAGCUUUUGCAUAAAUUUACGUCCCAGGACAUCCAUGCAUUGAUUAUCAAAUUAACUCUCAUAAUGAUUUCCAAACGCGUACUAACUAUUUCAUUUUGUAUUAUCUGUAAGUAAGCUAACGUGGUGACUCGAGGACCCACAGAGAUCCACUCGAUGAUGAAGAUCUAUUCAGGGGCAAAGUGGAUUACGAAUGGAGUUGCUAGACCACACCAAAGAAAAGGAGAAUUUCGGUAAGCCAAAGUGGAGACUCGAGGACCGACAGAGAUCCACUUGAUGACAAAGGAUUACGAAUAGAGUUGCUAGACCGCACCAAAGAAAGGGAAGCCAACGUGGAGACUCGAGGACCGACAGAGAUCCACUCGAUGACGAAGAGGAUUACGAAUGGAGUUGCUAGACCGCACCAAAGAAAGGGAAGCCAACGUGGAGACUCGAGGACCGAAAGAGAUCCACUCGAUGACGAAGAUCUAUUCGGGGGCAAAGAGUAUUACGAAUGGAGUUGCUAGACCACACCAAAGAAAGGGAGAAUUUCGCUACUUUUCCUUUUACUUUUAUUGCAUCUUAGAAUUGCAUUCAUUUUCAAGCUUUCUUGCAUUUAGCUUUAGCAUAAAUUUAAGUCCCGGGACAUCCAUGCAUUGAUUAUCAACUUAACUCUCAUACUGACUCCCAAACGCGUACUAUCUAUCUCUUUUUUGUAUUAUUUGUAGGUAAGCCAACAUGGAGACUCGAGGACCGACAGAGAUCCACUCGAUGACGAAGAUAAGUUAUUUAUAUCUAUUUUAUACUUUCGAAUGUUUAUUUACUUGUAUUAAUUUUGAAUUUUUUCAAAUCUAUUCCGGGGCAAAGAGGAUUAGUAAUGGAGUUGCUAGACCGCACCAAAUAAAGGGAGAAUUUAGCUACUUUUCCUUUUACUUUUAUUGCAUCUUAGAAUUGCAUUCAUUUUCAAGGUUUUUGCAUUUAGCUUUAGCAUAAAUUUACGUCCUGGGACAUCCAUGCAUUGAUUAUCAACUUAACUCUCAUACUUACUCCCAAAUGCGUAGUAUCUCUUUUUUAUAUUAUCUUUAGGUAAGCCAACGUGGAGACUCGAGGACCGACAGAGAUCCACUCGAUGACGAUGGUAAGUUAUUUAAAUCUAAUUUAUACUUUCGAAUGGCAAUACAUGAGCCUAGUCGAGAAUAUGUUUGGUUGAGAUCAAUGACUCAACAUAUUCUGAAAAAUUAUGGGUUAAUACCCGACGAUAGAAUUCCCCCAACUACAUUGUAUGAAGAUAAUACAGCUUGUAUAGCGCAAUUAAAAGGGGGUUACAUCAAAAUAGAUAGAACAAAACAUAUUUCACAAAAAUUCUUUUUGACUCAUUAUUUACAGCAAACUGGUGAAAUCAAUGUGCAACAAAUUCGAUCAGAUAAUAAUUUAGCGGAUGUAUUAACCAAGACAUUACCGACUGCUAUAUUUGAAAAAUUAGUAAAGAAAAUUGGAAUGCGUCGGUUCAGAGAUCUCAAAUAAUGCUCAGAUUAGGUGGAGCAAAUAAAUACAAGAAUGUUGUACUAUUUUUCUUUCACUAAUUUUUUUUUCCCACAGGGUUUUUUUCCAGUAAGGUUUUAACGAGACACAUUUUCUGUGUAAUAGCAUCCAAGGGGGAGUGUUAUACACGUAUAUGCUUUAUACGUAAUUAUGUGGAUGCAGCUAAAUUAAACAUGUAUUUAGUUUUAUUUUAUGUGCGUAUGACUAAUUUUCAACCAUGAAAUUGGAUGGUGAAAAUGUCUAUAUAUACCAUAUAUAUUACAAUGAAAUAAAAGAGAAGAUAUCU